rnacentral:rRNA from 1 species
GUCUAUGGCCAUGCCACCCUGAACGCGCCCGAUCUCGUCUCAUCUCGGGAGCUAAGCAGGGUUGGGCCUGGUUAGUACUUGGAUGGGAGAACAAUCAGUCCCCAAUUCUCAGUUGCUACCCCACCUGCCCUAGGCA